rnacentral:tRNA from 1 species
GCGUCAGUGGUGUAGCGGUAACAUUGGAGCUUCCCACGCACGUGGAACGCCUUCUAGGCGUUACAACUGCUCUAGCCUCGGGUUCGACUCCCGGCUGACGCA